AUAUUUUUUAAAUCUGUUCUUAUCAGUUUAAUAUAAUAAUAAUAAUAAUAAUAAUAAUAAUAAUAUCUGACACGUCCCCUAUCUGGGGACCAUAUAUUCAAUAGAUUUUUGGAACAGGGAGAUGGAAUAGGGGCUUGCUCCGUCCACUCCACGCAUCGACCUGGUAUUGCAGUACUUCCAGGAACGGUGCACCCCAC